AAUCGCAAAUCUAGAACGCAUUUCUCUCUUUCUCUCUCGUUUAGCCGAAGCAGAGCAAACCCACAACAAUGGAGAUCAGACGAAGCAAUCGGCGACAACCAUCCCCUCCCCUUUCUUCCUUCCGUCGACGAGGCAAAACAAAGCAGAUCGUGGCAGGCGGCCGGCGAGGCUUCCUCCGGCGACCCAUGUCCACCUCGACCUUCAUCCCCUUCCUUCUCCUUUCUUCUCGACCGGUAGCAGCAAAGAAUGGCAGUGAUUGCAGCUCCAGCGACGAGAUUUCCAGUGAGCAGGGCAGGCCGGCGUGGGUAGCUUCUCGGCGAAGGGCGUGCGGUUGUGGUGAUAUGCGGCAGUGAAAGAGAUGGCGGGAAAUGGUGAAGAAGACGAAGAGUUUUACAGUUUUCGUUCUGACAUAUUAGGAUUCACUAGUGAUGAAGCGACAAGACGAAAUCUAAAAUUGCUUAUGAAGUCACUCAGCAGGCUACUGUGAAGAUGGAAGACACCGAAAAGCUUAGUCACAACAUUUAAUAUUUAAAUUGUGUGAAUCCGAAUUGCUUCUAUAUCUUGAAUGCAACAGGCAGGCAUUUGACAUGGAGGCCAGUUUAGAUUGCUGUUGGAGACACACGAGUUCUUUGGGUAAUUGUGCAAAUAGUUUAGGUAGUUUGAUUUUUUGUUAAGAUAGAAGAUGAACCUAUACUCCUUAUAUUCCCAUUACUGUGCUUUGGUAAAGUCAUCAUAAUGUCUCUUUCUUGUAUUCAAACUCCUGUCUGGGAAUAUGAGGAAUAGUUAAGAGAUUUUGGUUAGAAA